rnacentral:tRNA from 1 species
GGAAGCGUUUCGUCACCGGUGUGGCGCCUGGUCUUCAAAACCAGUGAGCGACAGCAAUGCCGUUUGUAGGUUCGACUCCUAUGCGCUUCCGCCA